GACCCCGCGGGACCCUCUGGGCAGUUGCAAGUGGCCCUCGGCAGGUCGCCGAGCCUGGGAGCGCCCAUCAGAUCUGCAGAACCUGGAGCAGCGUCGGUCUUACCUCCCACUCUAGAUUCUUGGAGACAGGAGGAUGCCUGUGUGGGCAAGCACGUUGCUGGCAAACUUGUGCUGUCAUUAUCACUGUUACUGUUUCUCACCUGGAAUGGGACCCACCAUGAGCAUCCGGAGGGAUCCUGGAGAGUCGGCACGCUCCCACUUCAGUUGUCCCACCCUCUUGUCCGUCGGUGGCAUCGCCCCGUCUUGGAUCCGAGACCUCAGAAAGAGGGCCCCGACGCCCCCUGUUUUCAAUUGUUUUGGGGGGACUCAGGGAUUCCGGGUUUCCUGAUUCCUCAAACCCGUGCUCGCUCUGUCCGGAGCGUCUUCUGCUCGUUGCAGAGACAGUAAGAAUCUGCAAGUCCUGAGCUGAACCUUGGGGCCGAGUAUGUGGCAGGGGCUCUACUCUGAAUCACUUUUCAACCCAAGGGGGCGAAGAGGGGAGAAGAGAGAAGGGCAUGUGUGUGAAACGAACGGGUAACUGGCCGAGCGGGCGCCAGAGCAGUCUGUGUGAAUCUGGGGGCGGCUGAUCUUUGCACCCUCCCCUCCAGCUUGGGUGGUGUUUGUUUGUAUGUGUGUGUGUGCAUGUGUGUUUAAACCUUGGCAAAGGCAAAUGCGUGGUAUUUUUGGCCGCCAGAGGCUUUUUCUUCUUCAGCAAGUAGUACGUAUUAAUCUAUUACUUUAAAAGCAGUCCGUUGCCAGAAUUGAGUUUUCCAAAAAAAACUUAGUGCAACUGAUUAAUAGACUUUACUUUCAGUGAUAAACCCAAGCUGAUUCCUUUGAGUAGAUGUGUUGGUAGGGGGUGGGAUUAUUUGACUCAGGCUAAAUGCAGCCCCCACCAUGGAAAUGAAAGUUCAAACUGCAUAGAUCUGGCAAAAUAUCCAGACCCUUGUCCUCCCAGCUUCUGGGUUCAGAUGCAGGGCCUUUGGGACAGAGCUGAGACUGCGCUGGAUGCUUACGCAAUCCCGAUGACCUGCAGGGAAAAGCAUUUAUGGGGGACAGGGCCAUGACAGCUGGGCCAUCUGGAUGAGGCCAGAAAUACCCUGAAUUAAGAGGGAGAGUGGAGCCACAUCAAAAUGAUUGGACUUAAAAAUAACCAGGCUUGUGUGGUAAAGUUUCAGGGGAGGCUGAAAGGGAAGUUCCUUUGAAAAAUUGGAUAAUAAAGAAUGUGUUUUUUCAGUCAGCUUUGAAUACCCCUAGGACCCUCACAGCUUUAACCUAGUGUUGGGUCAUUCACACGUUGUUGUGAAAUAGUUUCCUCAGCUUUAAUAGCUGGAUAGAGGAAUAGGGUAGAGCAGAGGGAUGAGGGAAGCUGGGUCUGAGUCCGUCUUACUCCCAGGGAGGCCUCUGGGCAGCAAAAGGCAACACGAUGUCGCGACACCUGGGGUGGGGUGAGGAAUUAGGGUGCAAAGACACCACAGGCAAACAUGCUCUUUCUUAGUUUUGCUUAAGACAGUUUCAAACAGAUGGAUCCUAGCCCCCCUGUCCACUUAGAUGUACUAAAUCCUUGUUGGAAACCCAGGAUAACGAUGUACCAACAAACCCUCCAUUUACCUGAUUCAGUUUCCAGUCUGUGAGCCUGCACCCUGAGCUGCCAUCUCUCAAAGGGGAAAACCUGUGAACUACAGAGUGUGGGGGACCAUCAACCCCGUGUUAAAGAGAACAGACGGUGCCAGGCGCUGUGGGGCAUGCCGUCGACCCGGUCUUCAGUCCCUCUUCACUUCUCUUUCAGUCUUUCUGCAGAGUCUCUGGUGUGAGCAUGUCUAACACUUGUCAACCUGCAGUUUUAAGAGAAAGAGGCCCAGACUCUACUCCUUCUCCAGGUUUCAGCAUCUAAGUAGAAUUUAAUAAUGCUGUCUUCCACUUAUGGUAAAUGAUGUCCGUUGCACUCUCAUAUAAACUUUGCUUUUUAAAUUUUAGGUUAAAAUGAAAUUUACGUAAAGAAAAACAGUGUAGUUUGGGUGGUACAUAGGUUGGCCAAAAAGUGCUCUAUAAAUGUAACUGAACUUUGGGAAACACGGAGCUGUGGUCUCCCAGGCCCCUUUGAAAUCUAACACCUGCUCCAGCUGUUCUGGUCCAGGACACUGAGGCCUAGAGGGGUCAAGUUACUUGACCAAGAAGAUUGUUCUCUUUAGAAACCUUUCCUUCAGCCUCUCCCUGACUAGAAACACCAAAACUGUGGCUCCCUGGAAAAGUAUCAGCCUGGAGUUGAUCACAUCGUGUACAGCAACCUUGCCAACAAUGACCUGUGUUAUUCCUGCUUCCUUGUGGCUGCCCUGGUGAAACACGCUUGUGAACAGCGGAACAAACUGUCUGGGCCUCGCAGGACGAGUAGAAGUUGCCCGCUGUCGGGAAAGGACUUGGGAAAGUGUUAGUCUGGGUCUUUAGAGAAGCAGACACUGAGACAGGAUUAAACGUGCAAGGAUUUAAUUAGGGCAGACGCCUGAGGGAGAGAAGAUGGGGAGGGAGCCAGGUUACCCUGGGAGCGUCUGACCAAAGUGUGCCUGACCCCAGGGAAGGAGAGACGGAGGGAGGAACGGAGGGAGCAUUGUAGACCGCCCUGCAGUCCCCAGAAGAUCUGGCAGGGCCACCGGGCAGCUCUGGAGCCAAAGUCCACUGUCAGAGGUGUCCCCAUGCUAUUUGAGUCACUGAUGGAACACCCCUGGGGGGGUGGCCUCAGCACAAACAUAGGCAGGGUGUCCCCGGCCCUUGCUCCGUUGUGCCCCUGCAGUUGGAGCUCUGGGAGGCCCAUCCUGGUGGCCGCCACAGAAAGGUACUCGGUAAACAGGUGUUGGUUAACAGCCAGGCGUUGCAGUGGAGGCUUGUUGUGUGGGCACCUUCGGAUUCAUGGAAACCACAACCAGCAUUUCCCCUGGGCUCUGGCCAGGCUCGUGAUGGACUUUCCCUCAUUUACUCCCCUCACCAGCUCUGUGAGGCAAGUUCUGUUUCUCUUCCCAUUUUACAGAUGAAGAAACCGAGGCUCAGAGAAGUUAAGCAGCUUGUGCAAGAUCACUGACAAGUUGGUGGCUGAAGAGGUUUUCAACCCUUGGCAGAUGGCUCCUCUGAAACAGGGUUUGGGAUCUGGUGGGUGACCCUGAACCCUGCCUGCACCUUGGCUGACUGGCUCACCCCGUCCACUUGGUUUGUUUUGUACUGUCCUCUGCCCUUUCGACCUACUUCUACUCAGAUCUGAAAUCCAGGGAAAGGCCAGAGGUCCCAAGUGGCCCCACGGCAGGUCAUUGGCUCUCUGGGCGUGGGUGGCAUGAGAGCUGAGCUGAGCUUUGUGCCCGCUGAGUGAAUUUAAGGACAUUUCACUCAGUAUAUUUGUGUAUGAAUCUGUCAACCAAGGUUACUAGCUGGGCUCUGCUGUGUUAAAUAAUUAGUGAGAUGGCCGAGCUCCAUUGAGUGCCCCCAGAAUCUGCAGACAGCACGCUGACCACAUGGCCAUCUCCGUGACCGGCUGCGACUGUGACCAUUUGCUUGUUAUCCAAAUAUAUUUGACUGUCUUGAAGCAAGCGGGUGUUCCUGGCGCCUUCAGGUUCUGUCGUGUUUGAUUUGUUCAUUAAUACGGUGGUUUGGCUUGUUAGGUGUGGUCCAGAGGGAGUUCCUAAAAAGCUGGAAAUAUUUAACUGACAACCGUCUUCCCCCUCAAAUCUGUGCUGCUUUUGACGUGCCUGUUGUGGAACGUGCCCAGACUGGAGAGUCACUCAGUGCCUCGGUUUCAGCUUCUGCAAAGUAAGGAUGAUGCUCUGUGUCCUGUUCACUCCACAAGAUGGCUAAGCUCCAAAAGGUGUGAGUGGAGAAGAGUGAGGAAGUGUUGAAAGCGUCCUUGAGAUGUCACCUUUUGUGCUGGGUUGGUAUUUUAGAUAUUAGCCAAUGUUUCACUUUUCUCCAGCCCUUGUGUUUAUAAUCUCGGGGAGGGAUAUAGGGGCCUUCCUGGUUUGGGUGGCUGGCCUGUGUUAACACUUGAGAGACUCUAGGACCCCAGGCUGCGGAGGCUGGGGCAGGAGUGGGAGGGGACGCACAGCGUGGGGAGCAGGGAUGUCCCUGGUCUCAGAUGGGGUGUCUGCUUCCUGGGGAGGCAGCACAAACCCCAGGUGGGCUGUGGAUCAUCUGAGCGCAGCCGGGACACCACUCUGCUUCCUCAGAAGAUCCAGGGAGGGCCCCAGGGCGGAAGUGGCUGCCCGGAGGCUCUCUGCAGUGAGGGCUUAGCCCUGGUCACAAGAACUCCUUGUCCGGGGAGGCUGGGGCAGCCUUCCGCUCAAGGCUGGCUCUGAGAACGCCCAAGGGAGGUGUCGAAGCCUGAGGCUCCCCUCCCUACCCUGCCCCGGUUACAUGGACUAAGUGACCGAGCUCACAUGUUUCCCUUCCUGGAGGAAUGAGGGUUCAAGUGAGAAAUUAAGCUGACAUAAGAAAAUAAAGCCACAUUUCUUGCACACCUCGGUUUAUGUUCUCCUUUUGUUCACUUUUCUCUCCAGUGUUAUUACUCACGCAGCCAGACGCAUGUUUCAGAGGAAGCCUUUGACUCAUUAUGGGCAUGAAUGAGGAGAUUCAUUCUGGGAGAAUUUUGCAAAGAGAUAUGAACACACCCUGACAGAGGAAGGGAAGUGAGAAAUGUGAUCUUUAUGCACCAAAACACUCUGAAAAAAUUACUCCUAUUCUGAAGAAGAUAAAUCAAAACGGGAUUAUUUUCAUCACUCUAGCCAGAACAUAAAGUAGAUGGCACUUUCUCUCUUUCGUAAUCUUAGAUGUAAUACAUUGAAAUCUAAAGAAAUAAUUUAUUCUCAUAAGAACGCUGAAGUAAUCUCAAAAGCAAAAAAAGCCUGGGGUCUUAACAUCCUUAUGCUGAUUCAGCACAUGUGCAGAGGUGGGUGUGCUGGUGGCUUGGUCUUCCCAGUCAACCAUCCGAGUUUCCAGGAUUGGAUAGAGCAGAGGGUCUCCACCCUGGUCUAUCUGGGGUCCAUCAUGAGGUUUCAAGCCUGUCUGGACAUGUCUGUGAACUGGUGAGACAGGCCUGAGUGACGUCAGUGUGCCUGGGGGAGGCUGCAGUCAUCCGUGCUCUUGGGGGCUUUGGUAUAUCUGGGCACGUCUAGCAAGCCGUGGGCGGCUGCUGGAGGCUGAGGAGACUCCUGGGUGAGACUUCGCCCUGAGGGUGGAAGGAAUCUGGUGAUCAGCUUGAGCCUGGAAGAAGCAUCAUCAGUAAGUCUGCUCGCGUUGGAGCAGUUUCCUGUUCCUGUUCCCCGGUCUGGCCUCCUGGAGGCAUGUGUUCCAUGGGUACAUAGAGGGCUGUCAGUAAAAACAGAAAGAGCUUUCUCACUAAGCUUUAUAAAAAAUACUCAGACCCCGGAAACACUGUUUUACUUUCCCUGUGAACAGGUGAGUCAUUCCCUGACACUUCAGCCCAGAGGAGGGUGUGCAGGAACGGCUGUGCUCAGUGGGUGGAGGCGUAGCCGGCAGGACUGGGAGAGUGGAGACACCUUCUGGAGACCCCCAGAGAUAUGGGACUUGGAGUGCAGGGGCUGGACGUUUGCUAAGGCAAGGGGAGCAAGAACCAGUGACAUUUGUAUUGGAGUUAAUGAGACGUCCUCAAAGGCUCCUAAGACCUGGAGAAAUAAGCAUUACGUAUAUGCUAUUAGCCAGUUCCUAGAGUUAUUGAACACUUACUAAAAGAACCUUAAUAACUAUGUCUCUCUUUUGAUGCGUAGGCUCUUUGCAAAAUCCCCAUUUUGGGUAAUAUUUUUAUAGCAGUAAAACACACUUACAGACAGGAAUAUAAAUCUUAGGUUGUAUCACAACAAAUUUUUACAAAUCAAUAACUCGUGCAAACCCCACCUAGACUGAGCUAGGAACAUUAGGAGCAGCUCAGAGCCCUCUCUUGUGCCCCUUCCACUCUCCCUCCCUAAGGGUAAUCGUGACCCUGGUUUCUGAUAUUCCAAUAUUACUUUUGCCUCUUUUAAACUUUGUAAGUGGAAUUAAUUCUAUAGUACAUCUCUAUUUUGUCUGACUUUUUAACAGAGCAUUAUGUCUGUAAGUUUCAUUUAUGUUCUUGCCAAAUUUCUAGGUCUUCAUUGUUGUAUAGUAUUCUAUUAUAUGAAUGUAGCACGAUUUUAUUUAUCCAUUUUACUGGUGAUGGACAUUUAGACUGUAUCCAGUUUUUGGUUAUUAUGAACAAAGCUGCCAUAAAAAUAUUGGUACGUUUUUACUGCA